GAUGAACGCUGGCGGCGUGCCUAAUACAUGCAAGUCGAGCGAACGGACGAGAAGCUUGCUUCUCUGAUGUUAGCGGCGGACGGGUGAGUAACACGUGGAUAACCUACCUAUAAGACUGGGAUAACUUCGGGAAACCGUAGCUAAUACCGGAUAAUAUUUUGAACCGCAUGGUUCAAAAGUGAAAGACGGUCUUGCUGUCACUUAUAGAUUGAUCCGCGCUGCAUUAGCUAGUUGGUAAGGUAACGGCUUACCAAGGCAACGAUGCAUAGCCGACCUGAGAGGGUGAUCGGCCACACUGGAACUGAGACACGGUCCAGACUCCUACGGGAGGCAGCAGUAGGGAAUCUUACGCAAUGGGCGAAAGCCUGACGGAGCAACGCCGCGUGAGUGAUGAAGGUCUUCGGAUCGUAAAACUCUGUUAUUAGGGAAGAACAUAUGUGUAAGUAACUGUGCACAUCUUGACGGUACCUAAUCAGAAAGCCACGGCUAACUACGUG
rnacentral:rRNA from 1 species